rnacentral:rRNA from 1 species
UUCAACGGCCGCGGUAUCCUAACCGUGCAAAGGUAGCGUAAUCACUUGUCCCUUAAAUAGAGACCCGUAUGAAUGGCUAAAUGAGGAUAAAUCUGUCUCCUUUAACAAGUCAGUGAAACUGAUCUACCAGUACAAAAGCUGGUAUAACCCCAUAAGACGAGAAGACCCUGUGGAGCUUUAAAUUUAAGCCAAGCAGCAAAACAAGUACAGCCCAAUGGUUAAAAAUUUUAAGUUGGGGCGACUUCGGAAAAAACCAAAACUUCCGAGCAUAAGACUCUGUCUUACCAAGACCAACAAGUCAAAGCUAAAACUUGACCCAGUACAACUGAUCACCGAACCAAGUUACCCCAGGGAUAACAGCGCAAUCUUCUUCAAGAGUUCAUAUCGACAAGAAGGUUUACGACCUCGAUGUUGGAUCAGGACACCCAAGUGGUGCAGCCGCUAUUAAAGGUUC